AACACGAUUUUGAAGAGGAAACCUAGAACUCAAGGCACUAGCAAACACCUGCAUGUGGUAUUUGGUAUCUGAAAGAACCCUGCUGUGAUAGUAUUAGCUUUGUGGUAUAAAAUGAUUGUUAAACUAUUACAAUUCCUAACAUUAAUCAUUUUCAUAGGAUUUGUUUUAGGGGAUGAUGUGAUCCAACAAGACCAGGAAAGGACUGUGGAUAACGGAAAAGAUGUAACUCUGGGCUGCUCUUACUUCUUUAAGAAAUAUGUGCUAAUGUGGUAUGUACAGAAACCCAGUGGGACUCUUCAACUUAUUCUCAAUGAUGAAUCCAAAGAACGUGAUCUUGAUGAAGAAUUUAAGGAGCGGUUUUCAGCUAAGCAUGAUGCAGAGGAGAAAACCUUCAACCUGACUAUUAAAAAAAGUAUAUGGUCUGACUCAGGAAUGUACUAUUGUAGUCUGGAGCAUAGCACCCUAUUGCAUGCUAACUUCUUAGCAGUACAGAAACCUGCACUGGUGUUAUUGUGA